rnacentral:pre_miRNA from 1 species
UGAGAACAAUAACUGCUGUUAAUGUAGGUGCAUAACAAGCACGGCUUCCCUGUAUUAGUGCAACGUCAUUGCAGCUGUUGUGUUUGUGU